CGGUGAAUACGUUCCCGGGUCUUGCACACACCGCCCGUCAAGCCAUGGAAGCUGGGUGUACCUAAAGUCGGUAACCGUAAGGAGCCGCCUAGGGUAAAACUAGUGACUGGGGCU
rnacentral:rRNA from 1 species